ensembl:rRNA 5S_rRNA 5S ribosomal RNA
GCCAGCAGCCAUAUCAUCCUGCAACUCACAACUGGCAACCCACUGAAGCUAAGCAGGUGUGAGCCUGGUCAGUACCUGAAUGGGAGACCUCCUGGGAAAAACUAAGGUUGCUGCUGGAA